UACGGAGGGUGCAAGCGUUUGUCCGGAUUUAUUGGGUUUAAAGGGUGCGUAGGCGGCUAAUUAAGUCAGCGGUGAAAUUCCACAGCUUAACUGUGGAACUGCCAUUGAUACUGGUUGGCUUGAGUACAGAUGAGGUAGGCGGAAUUGACAGUGUAGCGGUGAAAUGCUUAGAUAUUGUCAAGAACACCUAUUGCGAAGGCAGCUUACUAAGCUGUAACUGACGCUGAGGCACGAAAAGCGUGGGGGAUCAAACAGG
rnacentral:rRNA from 1 species